rnacentral:rRNA from 1 species
GAUGAACGCUGGCGGCGUGCUUAACACAUGCAAGUCGAACGAUGAAGCCCAGCUUGCUGGGUGGACUAGUGGCGAACGGGUGAGUAACACGCGAGUAACCUGCCCUUGACUCUGGGAUAAGCCUGGGAAACUGGGUCUAAUACUGGAUAUGACUUCUCAUCGCAUGGUGGGGGGUGGAAAGAUUUAUUGGUCUUGGCUGGACUCGCGGCCUAUCAGCUUGUUGGUGUGGUAAUGGCUCACCAAGGCGACGACGGGUAGCCGGCCUGAGAGGGUGACCGGCCACACUGGGACUGAGACACGGCCCAGACUCCUACGGGAGGCAGCAGUGGGGAAUAUUGCACAAUGGGCGCAAGCCUGAUGCAGCGACGCCGCGUGAGGGAUGACGGCCUUCGGGUUGUAAACCUCUUUCAGUAGGGAAGAAGCGAGAGUGACGGUACCUGCAGAAGAAGCGCCGGCUAACUACGUG